GACGAACGCUGGCGGCGCGCCUAACACAUGCAAGUCGAACGAGCGAGAGAGAGCUUGCUUUCUCGAGCGAGUGGCGAACGGGUGAGUAACGCGUGAGGAACCUGCCUCAAAGAGGGGGACAACAGUUGGAAACGACUGCUAAUACCGCAUAAAGCCCACGACCCGGCAAUCGGGGUAGAGGGAAAAGGAACAAUCCGCUUUGAGAUGGCCUCGCGUCCGAUUAGCUAGUUGGUGAGGUAACGGCCCACCAAGGCGACGACUCGGUAGCCGGACUGAGAGGUUGAACGGCCACAUUGGGACUGAGACACGGCCCAGACUCCUACGGGAGGCAGC
rnacentral:rRNA from 1 species